rnacentral:tRNA from 1 species
GGAAGCGUGCCCGAACACAAGGACUACUUUGAUAGAGUAGACUAUAGGGGUUUACCCCCCCUCGCCUCCC